UACGUAGGGGGCAAGCGUUGUCCGGAAUCAUUGGGCGUAAAGGGCGCGUAGGCGGGCAUAUAAGUCUGAUGUGAAAGUGCGGAGCUUAACUCCGUAAAGCAUUGGAAACUGUGUGUCUUGAGGACAGGAGAGGAAAGUGGAAUUCCUAGUGUAGCGGUGAAAUGCGUAGAUAUUAGGAGGAACACCAGUGGCGAAGGCGACUUUCUGGACUGUAACUGACGCUGAGGCGCGAAAGCGUGGGGAGCGAACAGG
rnacentral:rRNA from 1 species